rnacentral:rRNA from 1 species
CAGGCUUAACACAUGCAAGUCGAGGGGCAGCAUGGUCUUAGCUUGCUAAGACUGAUGGCGACCGGCGCACGGGUGAGUAACACGUAUCCAACCUGCCGUCUACUCUUGGACAGCCUUCUGAAAGGAAGAUUAAUACAAGAUGGCAUCAUGAGUCCGCAUGUUCACAUGAUUAAAGGUAUUCCGGUAGACGAUGGGGAUGCGUUCCAUUAGAUAGUAGGCGGGGUAACGGCCCACCUAGUCUUCGAUGGAUAGGGGUUCUGAGAGGAAGGUCCCCCACAUUGGAACUGAGACACGGUCCAAACUCCUACGGGAGGCAGCAGUGAGGAAUAUUGGUCAAUGGGCGAGAGCCUGAACCAGCCAAGUAGCGUGAAGGAUGACUGCCCUAUGGGUUGUAAACUUCUUUUAUAAAGGAAUAAAGUCGGGUAUGGAUACCCGUUUGCAUGUACUUUAUGAAUAAGGAUCGGCUAACUCCGUGCCAGCAGCCGCGGUAAUACGGAGGAUCCGAGCGUUAUCCGGAUUUAUUGGGUUUAAAGGGAGCGUAGAUGGAUGUUUAAGUCAGUUGUGAAAGUUUGCGGCUCAACCGUAAAAUUGCAGUUGAUACUGGAUAUCUUGAGUGCAGUUGAGGCAGGCGGAAUUCGUGGUGUAGCGGUGAAAUGCUUAGAUAUCACGAAGAACUCCGAUUGCGAAGGCAGCCUGCUAAGCUGCAACUGACAUUGAGGCUCGAAAGUGUGGGUAUCAAACAGGAUUAGAUACCCUGGUAGUCCACACGGUAAACGAUGAAUACUCGCUGUUUGCGAUAUACUGCAAGCGGCCAAGCGAAAGCGUUAAGUAUUCCACCUGGGGAGUACGCCGGCAACGGUGAAACUCAAAGGAAUUGACGGGGGCCCGCACAAGCGGAGGAACAUGUGGUUUAAUUCGAUGAUACGCGAGGAACCUUACCCGGGCUUAAAUUGCAGAUGAAUUACGGUGAAAGCCGUAAGCCGCAAGGCAUCUGUGAAGGUGCUGCAUGGUUGUCGUCAGCUCGUGCCGUGAGGUGUCGGCUUAAGUGCCAUAACGAGCGCAACCCUUGUUGUCAGUUACUAACAGGUUCCGCUGAGGACUCUGACAAGACUGCCAUCGUAAGAUGUGAGGAAGGUGGGGAUGACGUCAAAUCAGCACGGCCCUUACGUCCGGGGCUACACACGUGUUACAAUGGGGGGUACAGAGGGCCGCUACCACGCGAGUGGAUGCCAAUCCCAAAAACCUCUCUCAGUUCGGACUGGAGUCUGCAACCCGACUCCACGAAGCUGGAUUCGCUAGUAAUCGCGCAUCAGCCACGGCGCGGUGAAUACGUUCCCGGGCCUUGUACACACCGCCCGUCAAGCCAUGGGAGCCGGGGGUACCUGAAGUGCGUAACCGCGAGGAGCGCCCUAGGGUAAAACUGGUGACUGGGGCUAAGUAA